rnacentral:tRNA from 2 species
GGGAUUCGACUUCCCCUGGGGGUA